ensembl:lncRNA
ACCAGCCAUAGCAGAAUUGGCUUGGUUUGCCCUUUAUACCUUUUUUGCUUUCUUCUGACCAGUACUCAUGCUAGGGCCUUCAUGUGGGUCAAAAUUCUCUCCAGGACCCAGGUCAGAUUAACUACUUUUUCUUUUCAAAUAUUUAUCUAUUGCUAUUACAAGCUGUGUCCUAUCACAGCAUGACUAUUAUGUAAUUUAUUCUUCAUCUUCUUCUAUUUUACUGGCAGUUGGCAACCCAUUUAAUUAGAGCAGGUAGUUGUACUGCCCUCUAGUGGAAGUGAAUGCAUUGUCCUGCUCGUUACUCAAGCUGCUCGCUUUGAGCAGCAGUCCCCAACCCCAGGGCCAUGGACCUCUCCGUGAGUCAUUUGGUACCGGGCCGUGAGAGUUGAGGCUCAGGUGUGAAAUUUAUGGUUUUCAGGGUUUUUGGCGGUUUUUAGCAUUAUUUUUUUUUAAUCAUUUUUAUCGUUAACUCGGUUUUCCCGGGACUUUUCCCAUGUCUUAUGAAUAAAUCUUCAUUUUUUUUUUUGGUACCAGUACUGGUUUUAUUUUGUUGUAUUUAUCUGCGACACCUUAAAGGCCGUGAAAAUAUUGUUGGAAAUAAACCGGUUUGUGGCGCAAAAAAAGGUUGGGGACUAAUAAGGCAAAACCAGAUAAUCUUCCACGGCACACCUGAUCAUCUCUCAUAGCACACCUGUGUGCCGCAGCACAGCGGUUGGGGAACACAAUAUUAGGACACAUCUGGCAAACUUUUUGCUAAUCCACAGGUUAGUUAUGUAAUAUUAUGUAAUUUUAGUUAUGUAACACUCCCACAUUCCUCUCUUCACUCUUUUUUUCAUUAAAAAACAAACUCUUGCAAAUUAUAAUUCUCAUGUGCUUUGGGUGCGCUUAGUAGCUCUGUGGGAUUAUUCUGAUUGAUUUGGAUUUUUCUUUAGGUAUUAUUGUAUUCCUUGGUGCGUAUCUACAAAUAUAAAAAACAAACCCUGACUACCUUUUAUUUAUAAAAUAAACAUAACAAACACUUUUUAGUUCUUGUUCUGUUAUGUUUUUUUACCGGCAUGCUAUUCAGAUGAUUAUAUUUUACAUUAUAAAGUUUUAUUUUUAUUAUUCCGUUUAUUGCCUGUUUUCCUGGUAGUUUGUCCUUGAAUUCGCUUAGCGAAGCUUUUGAAAGAGCAUUGAAGGGACAGUGUGUUUACUUAGCUGUUUAC